CACGCUAUCUGUCACGCCCCGGGACCGAUGCCAAUUUGGCCCGACCCGAGCACGUCAAACAGACGCCGAACGGACAGAGUUUUUCCUAUCCGCCCAAGGCUCAUCACAUGUACAUUUUCAUCAAUAAAUGCACUAGCGGAAACAUACACAAACGGCUUACACGAGGGUAAGCAAUAGCCAUUAGUGAAAGAAAAAGAAAACUAAACAUUCACUUGUACUAUGAUUCAGUUUUGAUCAUAUACAUUGCAUUCAUCUUGUUCAUUUUCGAAUUUCUUACAUUAUAUUUCAUCAUUUCUUUCUUACAUCCCAUUUACCUCAAAAUACACAUUACAUUCUUUCUUUACAUCACUAAUCAUCAAGUACAAAAGAUGAUAA
rnacentral:lncRNA from 1 species